AGCGAACGCUGGCGGCAGGCUUAACACAUGCAAGUCGAACGGGCGUAGCAAUACGUCAGUGGCAGACGGGUGAGUAACGCGUGGGAACGUACCUUUUGGUUCGGAACAACCCAGGGAAACUUGGGCUAAUACCGGAUAAGCCCUUACGGGGAAAGAUUUAUCGCCGAAAGAUCGGCCCGCGUCUGAUUAGCUAGUUGGUGUGGUAACGGCGCACCAAGGCGACGAUCAGUAGCUGGUCUGAGAGGAUGAUCAGCCACAUUGGGACUGAGACACGGCCCAAACUCCUACGGGAGGCAGCAGUGGGGAAUAUUGGACAAUGGGCGCAAGCCUGAUCCAGCCAUGCCGCGUGAGUGAUGAAGGCCCUAGGGUUGUAAAGCUCUUUUGUGCGGGAAGAUAAUGACGGUACCGCAAGAAUAAGCCCCGGCUAACUUCGUGCCAGCAGCAGCCGCCGUAAU
rnacentral:rRNA from 1 species